rnacentral:hammerhead_ribozyme from 1 species
AUCCAGAUGACGAGUCCUAAAUAGGACGAAAUGGAUAUCCUGGAU